AAUGCUGGUUUCUGGGAUGCGGUGUCCAUCCCCACCCCAGAAGUUCCUGGUGCCAAGUAUGCUGGGCUCAACCUGGAAUUUCCCAUUGUCCCAGGAGGAGGUGUGAUGAGCAUAAGGAAGGAAAAACAGUGACUUCACUCAGCUGCUGGGUAAAGAGGCCAUGUUACUUAACCUCUCUGAGGUCCAGCCUGCUUAUCUUAAUAGCUCUGUGACAAGUUACCUCAUUGAUCUGUGCCUGGGUUUCCUUAUUUGGAAAAUGGACAUGGCAACACCGCCUACUACACAGGUUGUCCAGCAGCCAUGAGAGAAGGAGCCAUCCCAGACCUUCAGACCAGUCAGGCCUGCAGAUGACUCCAGCCCUGGCAGCAAUCUGACUACAAACACACAAGAGACCUUGAGUGAGAAAACUGCCCAGCUCAGCCAAGUCAAUGCACAGACACAGGAGAGAUAAUAAUACAUUGUUGUUUGAAACCGGUAA